AUUGAACGCUAGCGGGAUGCCUUACACAUGCAAGUCGAACGGCAGCACGGACUUCGUUCUGGUGGCGAGUUGCGAACGGGUGAGUAAUGUAUCGGAACGUGCCCAGUAUCGGGGGAUAACUACGCGAAAGCGUAGCUAAUACCGCAUACGCCCUACUGGUGAAACCAGUGGAUCGCAAGACCUUGCACUAUUUGAUCUGCCGAUAUCGGAUUAGCUAGUUGGUGGGGUAACGGCUCACCAAGGCGACGAUCCGUAGCUGGUUUGAGAGGACGACCAGCCACACUGGGACUGAGACACGGCCCAGACUCCUACGGGAGGCAGCAGUGGGGAAUCUUGGACAAUGGGGGAAAGCCUGAUCCAGCAAUCCCGCGUGUGCGAUGAAGGCCUUCGGGUUGUAAAGCACUGUUAGCAGGAAAGAAAAGACGCGGAUUAAUACCUGGAGAAACUGACGGUACCUGAAGAAUAAGCCCCGGCUAACUACGUG
rnacentral:rRNA from 1 species